GCGUUGAUGGUAUAACGGUAGCAUUGCUGCCUUCCAAGCAGUAGAUCUGGGUUCCAUUCCCGGUCGACGCA
rnacentral:tRNA from 1 species